CGCCUGGGGAGUGCGGCCGCAAGGUUAAAACUCAAAUGAAUUGACGGGGGCCCGCACAAGCGGUGGAGCAUGUGGUUUAAUUCGACGCAACGCGAAGAACCUUACCUGGCCUUGACAUGCAGAGAACUUUCCAGAGAUGGAUUGGUGCCUUCGGGAACUCUGACACAGGUGCUGCAUGGCCGUCGUCAGCUCGUGUCGUGAGAUGUUGGGUUAAGUCCCGUAACGAGCGCAACCCCUAUCCCUAGUUGCUAGCAGUUCGGCUGAGAACUCUAGGGAGACUGCCGGUGACAAACCGGAGGAAGGUGGGGAUGACGUCAGGACAUCAUGGCCCUUACGGCCAGGGCUACACACGUGCUACAAUGGUGCGCACAGAGGGCUGCAAACCCGCGAGGGGGAGCCAAUCUCACAAAACGCAUCGUAGCCCGGAUCGCAGUCUGCAACUCGACUGCGUGAAGUCGGAAUCGCUAGUAAUCGUGAAUCAGAAUGUCACGGUGAAUACGUUCCCGGGCCUUGUACACACCGCCCGUCACACCAUGGGAGUGGAUUGCACCAGAAGUGGUUAGUCUAACCUUCGGGAGGACGAUCACCACGGUGUGGUUCAUGACUGGGGUGAAGUCGUAACAAGGUAACCGUA
rnacentral:rRNA from 1 species